CCUUAGACGGGACAACAUUCCGAAAGGGGUGCUAAUACCGGAUGUGACGCUCCUAUCGCAUGACGGGAGCGUGAAAGAUGGCCUCUACAUGUAAGCUAUCGCUAAAGGAUGGGCCUGCGUCUGAUUAGCUAGUUGGUAGUGUAACGGACAACCAAGGCGAUGAUCAGUAGCCGGUCUGAGAGGAUGAACGGCCACAUUGGGACUGAGACACGGCCCAG
rnacentral:rRNA from 1 species